AGAGUUUGGAUCCUGGCUCAGGAUAAACGCUGGCGGCGUGCCUAACACAUGCAAGUCGAACGUCCUGCCCUGAAAGGGGUAGGGAGUGGCGGACGGGUGAGUAACACGUGGGUACCUAGCCCGAGGUGAGGAAUACCGGCGAGAAAUCGUCGACAAGACCGCAUAGGCUCCGAGAGGAGCAAAGCACCCUGAAAGGGGUGUGCCUGGGGAUGGGCCUGCGCCCGAUUAGCUAGUUGGUGAGGUAAGAGCUCACCAAGGCGACCAUCGGUAGCUGGUCUGAGAGGAUGAUCAGCACACUGGGAUUGAGAACGGCCCAGACUCCUACGGGGGGCAGCAGUGAGGAAUUUUCCGCAAUGGGGGAAACCCUGACGGAGCAACGCCGCGUGCAGGAAGAAGGUUUUCGGAUCGUAAACUGCUUUUCUGGGGGAAGAAAACAGACGGUACCCCAGGAAGAAGCCCCGGCUAACUACGUGCCAGCAGCCGCGGUAAUACGUAGGGGGCGAGCGUUGUCCGGAUUGAUUGGGCGUAAAGGGCACGCAGGCGGUCCGAUG
rnacentral:rRNA from 1 species